CCUACGGGAGGCAGCAGUGAGGAAUAUUGGUCAAUGGCCGAGAGGCUGAACCAGCCAAGUCGCGUGAGGGAAGACGGCCCUACGGGUUGUAAACCUCUUUUGUCGGGGAGCAAAGCGAGUCACGUGUGACUCAUUGAGAGUACCCGAAGAAAAAGCAUCGGCUAACUCCGUGCCAGCAGCCGCGGUAAUACGGAGGAUGCGAGCGUUAUCCGGAUUUAUUGGGUUUAAAGGGUGCGCAGGCGGAGGUGCAAGUCAGCGGUCAAAUUGCGGGGCUCAACCCCGUACUGCCGUUGAAACUGCAGCCCUUGAGUGCGCGAGAAGUAUGCGGAAUGCGUGGUGUAGCGGUGAAAUGCAUAGAUAUCACGCAGAACUCCGAUUGCGAAGGCAGCAUACCGGCGCGCAACUGACGCUCAGGCACGAAAGCGUGGGUAUCGAACAGGAUUAGAUACCCGAGUAGUC
rnacentral:rRNA from 1 species